rnacentral:rRNA from 1 species
UACAGAGGUGGCAAGCGUUGUUCGGAAUUACUGGGCGUAAAGGGCGCGUAGGCGGCCUUCUAAGUCGGACGUGAAAUCCCCAGGCUUAACUGGGGAACUGCGCCUGAUACUGGAUGGCUUGAGAUUGGGAGAGGGAUGCGGAAUUCCAGGUGUAGCGGUGAAAUGCGUAGAUAUCUGGAGGAACACCGGUGGCGAAGGCGGCAUCCUGGACCAACACUGACACUGAGGAGCGAAAGCCAGGGGAGCAAACGGG